UUACUUUGGCAGAAUAGUGUGUUUGAUUUAGAAUCAUUUUAAGUAAGUUUUU
rnacentral:tRNA from 1 species